AUUUAACGCUGGCUGCAGGCUUAACACAUGCAAGUCGAGCGAGCGGCGGACGGGUGAGUAAUGUCUGCGAAACUGCCUGAUGGAGGGGGAUAACUACUGGAAACGGUAUCUAAUACCGCAUACCAUCAGAUGUACCCAGAUGGGAUUAGCUAGUAGGUGGGUUACUGGCUCACCUAGGCCACGAUCCCUAGCUGUUCUGAUAGGAUGACCAGCCACCCAGGAACUGAGACACGUUCCAGACUCCUACGUGAGGAAGCAGUGGGGAAUAUUGCACAAUGGGCGCAAGCCUGAUGCAGCCAUGCCGCGUGUGUGAAGAAGGCCUUCGGGUUGUAAAGCACUUUCAGCGAGGAGGCGUUACUCGCAGAAGAAGCACCGGCUAACUCCGUGCCAGCAGCCGCGGUAAUUC
rnacentral:rRNA from 1 species